GUACGUGAGCUGGGUUUAAAACGUCGUGAGACAGUUUGGUCCCUAUCUGCCGUGGGCGUUGUAAGUUUGAGAGGGGCUGCUCCUAGUACGAGAGGACCGGAGUGGACGAACCGCUGGUGUUCGGGUUGUCAUGCCAAUGGCACUGCCCGGUAGCUAUGUUCGGAAGUGAUAACCGCUGAAAGCAUCUAAGCGGGAAGCACGCCCCAAGAUGAGAUCUCUCCCUCCUUGAGAGGAUAAGAGCCCAGGUAGACUACCUGGUUGAUAGGCGCGGUGUGUAAGCGUGGCAACACGUUGAGCUAACGCGUACUAAUCGCUCGAAGGCUUGACCAU
rnacentral:rRNA from 1 species